rnacentral:rRNA from 1 species
CAGUCGCCACGGGAAUACAGAGGAUGCAAGCGUUAUCCGGAAUGAUUGGGCGUAAAGCGCGCGUAGGCGGUUUUUUAAGUCUGAUGUGAAAGCCCACGGCUCAACCGUGGAGGGUCAUUGGAAUCUGGAAAACUUGAGUGCAGAAGAGGAAAGUGGAAUUCCAUGUGUAGCGGUGAAAUGCGCAGAGAUAUGGAGGAACACCAGUGGCGAAGGCGACUUUCUGGUCUGUAACUGACGCUGAUGUGCGAAAGCGUGGGGAUCAAACAGGAUUAGAUACCCCAGUAGUCCCUGUCUCUUAUAC